rnacentral:rRNA from 1 species
AUUGAACGCUGGCGGCAGGCCUAACACAUGCAAGUCGGACGGUAGCACAGGGAGCUUGCUCUCGGGUGACGAGUGGCGGACGGGUGAGUAAUGUCUGGGGAUCUGCCCGAUAGAGGGGGAUAACCACUGGAAACGGUGGCUAAUACCGCAUAACGUCGCAAGACCAAAGAGGGGGACCUUCGGGCCUCUCACUAUCGGAUGAACCCAGAUGGGAUUAGCUAGUAGGCGGGGUAACGGCCCACCUAGGCGACGAUCCCUAGCUGGUCUGAGAGGAUGACCAGCCACACUGGAACUGAGACGCGGUCCAGACUCCUACGGGAGGCAGCAGUGGGGAAUAUUGCACAAUGGGCGCAAGCCUGAUGCAGCCAUGCCGCGUGUAUGAAGAAGGCCUUCGGGUUGUAAAGUACUUUCAGCGGGGAGGAAGGCGGUACGGUUAAUAACCGUACCGAUUGACGUUACCCGCAGAAGAAGCACCGGCUAACUCCGUGCCAGCAGCCGCCGUAA